CAAAGUGUAGCUUAACUAAAGCCUUUCGCUUACACCGAAAAAACACCUGUUUAAACCCAGGUCACUUUGA
rnacentral:tRNA from 1 species